AGAGCGAACGCUGGCGGCAGGCCUAACACAUGCAAGUCGAGCGCCCCGCAAGGGGAGCGGCAGACGGGAGAGUAACACGUGGGAACGUACCCUUCAGUCCGGAACAACCCAGGGAAACUUGGGCUAAUACCGGAUACGUCCGUAAGGAGAAAGAUUUAUCGCUGAAGGAUCGGCCCGCGUCUGAUUAGCUUGUUGGUGAGGUAACGGCUCACCAAGGCGACGAUCAGUAGCUGGUCUGAGAGGAUGAUCAGCCUCACUGGGACUGAGACACGGCCCAGACUCCUACGGGAGGCAGCAGUGGGGAAUAUUGGACAAUGGGCGCAAGCCUGAUCCAGCCAUGCCGCGUGGGUGAUGAAGGCCCUAGGGUUGUAAACGCCCUUUCGGCGGGGAAGAUAAUGACGGUACCCGCAGAAGAAGCCCGGCUAACCUUCGCGCCAGCAGCCGC
rnacentral:rRNA from 1 species